GCAGCCGCGGUAAUACGUAGGUGGCGAGCGUUAUCCGGAUUUACUGGGUGUAAAGGGUGUGUAGGCGGGAUUGCAAGUCAGAUGUGAAAACUAUGGGCUCAACUCAUAGCCUGCAUUUGAAACUGUGAUUCUUGAGGGUCGGAGAGGUAACUGGAAUUCCUGGUGUAGCGGUGAAAUGCGUAGAUAUCAGGAGGAACACCGGUGGCGAAGGCGGGUUACUGGACGAUUACUGACGCUGAGACACGAAAGCGUGGGGAGCAAACAGGAUUAGAUACCCC
rnacentral:rRNA from 1 species